AUUGAACGCUGGCGGCAGGCCUAACACAUGCAAGUCGAACGAGUGGCGGACGGGUGAGUAAUGUCUGGGAAACUGCCUGAUGGAGGGGGAUAACUACUGGAAACGGUAGCUAAUACCGCAUACCAUCAGAUGUGCCCAGAUGGGAUUAGCUUUUUGGUGGGGUAACGGCGCACCAAGGCGACGAUCCCUAGCUGGUCUGAGAGUAUGACCAGCCACACUGGAACUGAGACACGGUCCAGACUCCUACGGCAGGCAGCAGUGGGGAAUAUUGCACAAUGGGCGCAAGCCUGAUGCAGCAAGGCCGCGUGUAGUAAGAAGGCCUUCGGGUUGUAAAGCACUUUAAGUUGGGAGGCGUUACCAACAGAAUAAGCACCGGCUAACUUCGUGCCAGCAGCCGCGGUAAUAC
rnacentral:rRNA from 1 species